UGGGGAAUAUUGCACAAUGGGCGCAAGCCUGAUGCAGCCAUGCCGCGUGUAUGAAGAAGGCCUUCGGGUUGUAAAGUACUUUCAGCGGGGAGGAAGGGAGUAAAGUUAAUACCUUUGCUCAUUGACGUUACCCGCAGAAGAAGCACCGGCUAACUCCGUGUCAGCAGCCGCGGUAAUACGGAGGGUGCAAGCGUUAAUCGGAAUUACUGGGCGUAAAGCGCACGCAGGCGGUUUGUUAAGUCAGAUGUGAAAUCCCCGGGCUCAACCUGGGAACUGCAUCUGAUACUGGCAAGCUUGAGUCUCGUAGAGGGGGGUAGAAUUCCAGGUGUAGCGGUGAAAUGCGUAGAGAUCUGGAGGAAUACCGGUGGCGAAGGCGGCCCCCUGGACGAAGACUGACGCUCAGGUGCGAAAGCGUGGGGAGCAAACA
rnacentral:rRNA from 1 species